rnacentral:rRNA from 1 species
UACGAAGGGGGCUAGCGUUGCUCGGAAUCACUGGGCGUAAAGCGCACGUAGGCGGCUUUCUAAGUCAGGGGUGAAAUCCCGGAGCUCAACUCCGGAACUGCCUUUGAUACUGGAAAGCUUGAGUUCGGGAGAGGUGAGUGGAACUGCGAGUGUAGAGGUGAAAUUCGUAGAUAUUCGCAAGAACACCAGUGGCGAAGGCGGCUCACUGGCCCGAUACUGACGCUGAGGCGCGACAGCGUGGGGAGCAAACAGG